rnacentral:snRNA from 14 species
AUAAUACAGGGGAGAUCCCAUAAUCAUGAAAUUGGUUUUCCCAAGGUGAGGCCUAUCCCCUGUACUCAAGACAGGCUGAUUCCUGCAAGUUUCCCCAAAUGCAGGAAACUCAACUGCACAAUUUUGUGGCACUGAGGGACUGUUUUCUCACUUUCUUACU